rnacentral:rRNA from 1 species
AUUGAACGCUGGCGGCAGGCCUAGCACAUGCAAGUCGAACGGUAACAGGAAGAAGCUUGCUUCUUUGCUGACGAGUGGCGGACGGGUGAGUAAUGUCUGGGAAACUGCCUGAUGGAGGGGGAUAACUACUGGAAACGGUAGCUAAUACCGCAUAACGUCGCAAGACCAAAGAGGGGGACCUUCGGGCCUCUUGCCAUCGGAUGUGCCCAGAUGGGAUUAGCUAGUAGGUGGGGUAACGGCUCACCUAGGCGACGAUCCCUAGCUGGUCUGAGAGGAUGACCAGCCACACUGGAACUGAGACACGGUCCAGACUCCUACGGGAGGCAGCAGUGGGGAAUAUUGCACAAUGGGCGCAAGCCUGAUGCAGCCAUGCCGCGUGUAUGAAGAAGGCCUUCGGGUUGUAAAGUACUUUCAGCGGGGAGGAAGGGAGUAAAGUUAAUACCUUUACUCAUUGACGUUACCCGCAGAAGAAGCACCGGCUAACUCCGUG